GUUCAAAGGCAUUGGAUCUGUUGUGGCUGUGGAUCAGGUCUGACGGCUCUCUCUCUCUCAAUAAAAAUGAACUUGAUAAAGAAAAUGGAGUACUUAAAUGUGGAUAUCUGUUUUGCAGGAUCCGAAUACCCGUUACCCUGUCGUGGUCCGAUUCAACAAAGUUAACUAUGCCAAUGUGUCCACAAAUAACUAUGCUUUGGACGAGAUUGAAGAAGUUAAAUGAGUUUGUAGUAGCACUGUAAAUUGUAAUCUUAAUUAAAUUGUCCUUCUCUCAGUUUCUUCCUUACUUGUUGGUGCCCUUUAUUUGUGUAUCAUACUCUAAAUUUCUUCUUCCACCUUUUCUUAGUUAUUUUCAAUCACUGCUUCCUCAAAACACGAAUAGAUCGUUAUAAACUCAUAGUAUAUACCGUAUUUAUACACCGGAUUCAUAUGCCGGUUUCAUGCAUCUAUACGCUGUAAAUUAUCCUAUACUGGUUUCAUACACCGGAGCCGUACACUGCUUCUCUCUUUGUCACUGUAUCUUUAUCUUACGAUAUGGAGGGAAACAUUAAUAGGUGUUGGUUACAUCCCGGAGUUGGGCACCAUAUUUCUAAUUUUUUGUUUUAACUUAUUUGUAUUUUAGUUUGUUGUGCAAAUUUCAUCCCGAUGUUAAAUGGUGAGGGGAAAUGCAUGAAAGGAAAAGCAUAACGUGCCUUGCAUUGAUCCCAAAUAGAAUAUCGUAAAAAAUUGGAAAAAAAAA
rnacentral:lncRNA from 1 species